AUGAGAGCCAACGAUUGGUCACCUGCCUUCUCAUCUCCCUGAAGGAACAGCUGCCUGAGGUCUCCAGGACAACAGCAAACUGGAUGCUGCUCCAGCCACACCUCUCGCUGAGUCCUCGUGGUGGAGGAGAGAAUGGGGAUCUUUGCUGGGGGUUCCUGUCGGUCUCCGCGGCAGGGACACACGCAGCCUUGCAGGGUCACACGUCAGCCUCGUGGGACAGGACCGAACCCCCAGCUUUCUGCCCGUGGAAGCCAUCUCUGCACUUGCCUUCCUCCAGAACUCCACAAGUCUGUUGAAUGUACAUUCAACAUGAGCACGCAAUGAUUCAUCUACAUCUCACUUCUACUCGUUUCAGAAACAGCUCCUGGCUUCCCUGCAAACGGC